rnacentral:rRNA from 1 species
AAGUCGAGCGGGCGUAGCAAUACGUCAGCGGCAGACGGGUGAGUAACACGUGGGAACGUACCUUUUGGUUCGGAACAACUGAGGGAAACUUCAGCUAAUACCGGAUAAGCCCUAACGGGGAAAGAUUUAUCGCCGAAAGAUCGGCCCGCGUCUGAUUAGCUAGUUGGUGAGGUAAUGGCUCACCAAGGCGACGAUCAGUAGCUGGUCUGAGAGGAUGAUCAGACCCACUGGGACUGAGACACGGCCCAGACUCCUACGGGAGGCAGCAGUGGGGAAUAUUGGACAAUGGGGGCAACCCUGAUCCAGCCAUGCCGCGUGAGUGAUGAAGGCCCUAGGGUUGUAAAGCUCUUUUGUGCGGGAAGAUAAUGACGGUACCGCAAGAAUAAGCCCCGGCUAACUUCGUGCCAGCAGCCGCGGUAAUACGAAGGGGGCUAGCGUUGCUCGGAAUCACUGGGCGUAAAGGGUGCGUAGGCGGGUCUUUAAGUCAGGGGUGAAAUCCUGGAGCUCAACUCCAGAACUGCCUUUGAUACUGAGGAUCUUGAGUCCGGAAGAGGUGAGUGGAACUGCGAGUGUAGAGGUGAAAUUCGUAGAAUUCGCAAGGACACCAGUGGCGAAGCGGCUCACUGG